GUAGGCUGCAACUCGCCUACAUGAAGUUGGAAUCGCUAGUAAUCGCGAAUCAGAAUGUCGCGGUGAAUACGUUCCCGGGUCUUGUACACACCGCCCGUCACACCACGAGAGUUUACAACACCCGAAGUCAGUGGCCUAACCGCAAGGAGGGAGCUGCCUAAGGUGGGGUAGAUGAUUGGGGUGAAGUCGUAACAAGGUAUC
rnacentral:rRNA from 1 species